GACGAACGCUGGCGGCGUGCCUAAUACAUGCAAGUAGAACGCUGAAGCGAGGAGCUUGCUCUUCUUGGAUGAGUUGCGAACGGGUGAGUAACGCGUAGGUAACCUGCCUUGUAGCGGGGGAUAACUAUUGGAAACGAUAGCUAAUACCGCAUAACACUGGAUGACACAUGUCAUUUAUUUGAAAGGGGCAAUUGCUCCACUACAAGAUGGACCUGCGUUGUAUUAGCUAGUAGGUGAGGUAAUGGCUCAACUAGGCGACGAUACAUAGCCGGCCUGAAAGGGUGGUCGGCCACACUGGGACUGGGACACGGCCCAGACUCCUGCGGGAGGCAGCAGUAGGGAAACUUCGGCAAUGGGGGCAACCCUGACCGAGCAACGCCGCGUGAGUGAAGAAGGUUUUCGGAUCGUAAAGCUCUGUUGUAAGUCAAGAACGGGUGUGAGAGUGGAAAGUUCACACUGUGACGGUAGCUUACCAGAAAGAGACGGCUAACUACGUG
rnacentral:rRNA from 1 species